GAUGAACGCUGGCGGCGUGCUUAACACAUGCAAGUCGAACGAAGCACCUUGAUUCGAUUCUUCGGAUGAAGAUCUUGGUGACUGAGUGGCGGACGGGUGAGUAACGCUUGGGUAACCUGCCUCAUACAGGGGGAUAACAGUUAGAAAUGACUGCUAUUACCCCAUACGACCACAGCACCGCAUGGUGCAGGGGUAAAAACUCCGGUGGUAUGUGAUGGACCCGCGUCUGAUUAGGUAGUUGGUGGGGUAACGGCCUACCAAGCCGACGAUCAGUAGCCGAGCUGAGAGGGUGACCGGCCACAUUGGGACUGAGACACGGCCCAAACUCCUACGGGAGGCAGCAGUGGGGAAUAUUGCACAAUGGGGGAAACCCUGAUGCAGCGACGCCGCGUGAGCGAUGAAGUAUUUCGGUAUGUAAAGCGCUAUGAGCAGGGAAGAAAAUGACGGUACCUGACGAAGAAGCACCGGCUAAAUACGUG
rnacentral:rRNA from 1 species